CUUAUAAGACGAGAAGACCCCAUGGAGCUUUAAACCCAGCUACACCCCCGCUUAAUUAUACUUUUUAAUCUUUAAGGUCCUGUAUUACUGGUUUUAGGUUGGGGUGACCACGGAGCACAAAACAGCCUCCAUAAUGAAUAGACCUUAUCUUUAUCCAUGAGCUACACCUCUAAGAAUUAGAAUUCUAACAUAAAAUGAUCCGAUAUUCGAUCAACGAACCAAGUUACCCUGGGGAUAACAGCGCAAUCCACUUCAAGAGCCCCUAUCGA
rnacentral:rRNA from 1 species